rnacentral:rRNA from 1 species
CGCCCUUCGGGGUGCACCAGGCGCGAAAACUUUACAAUGCGGGAAACCGUGAUAAGGGGACACCGAGUGCCAGCAUCAUAUGCUGGCUGUCCGGGUGUGUAAAAUACACCUGUCAGCAAGGGCCGGGCAAGACCGGUGCCAGCCGCCGCGGUAACACCGGCGGCCCGAGUGGUGAUCGUGAUUAUUGGGUCUAAAGGGUCCGUAGCCGGUUUGGUCAGUCCUCCGGGAAAUCUGACGGCUCAACCGUUAGGCUUUCGGGGGAUACUGCCAGGCUUGGAACCGGGAGAGGUAAGAGGUACUACAGGGGUAGGAGUGAAAUCUUGUAAUCCCUGUGGGACCACCUGUGGCGAAGGCGUCUUACCAGAACGGGUUCGACGGUGAGGGACGAAAGCUGGGGGCACGAACCGGAUUAGAUACCCGGGUAGUCCCAGCCGUAAACGAUGCUCGCUAGGUGUCAGGCAUGGCGCGACCGUGUCUGGUGCCGCAGGGAAGCCGUGAAGCGAGCCACCUGGGAAGUACGGCCGCAAGGCUGAAACUUAAAGGAAUUGGCGGGGGAGCAC